CACAAGCAUACAAGCAAACAUUUGAUCAUCUUUGAAACAGUACCCAUUAAUAAAGUUGAUAUUCUUGAACAAAACCACAGAGAAAUGAGCUUUUUCAGUCAUUUAUUCAACAGAAAUAUCAAUAGAUGUGAUAUUCUUCCGUGGAAAAAGUAAGUACACUCUUGGCCUCAGAAGCUCGUGUUGAACCUUUAGCAGAAAUAACGUCUUGUAGGCGUUUUGAAUAAUCGUCCACCAGGCUUGCUGGAAUUUUUGACCACUCUUCCAUGCAAUAUUCUUUCAGUUGCAAGAUGUUUGAGGGUUUUCUUGCAUGUACUGCCCGUUUCAAAUCCCCCCCACAACAUUUCAAUUUUGACUAGGCCAGUCGAUAACCCUCCAUUUCUUCUUUUUGAGCCAUUCUUUGGUGGAUUUGCAAGUGUGCUUAGGAUCAUCAUCCUGUUGAAAGGUCCAAUUUUGGUUUGGUUCAACUUUCAGACAGAUGGCCUCAUUAUCUUCAAGCACUCUUUGAUAUUAUGCUGAAUUCAUAAUUGAAUUAAUGAAUCUGCUGUACAGACCCCGAGGCAGUGAAGCAACCCCAAACCAUAACAUUCCCUCCACCGUGCUUCACAAUUUAUGUGAGGUGCUUCUCCAGAAAAGCUGUCUUUGGUCAGUGCCAAACAUGUCUGCUGUUACUGUGACUAAACACCUCUAUCUGCAUCUAUCCAGAGCACAUUAUUCCAAAAGGCCUGUUCUUUGUCUAUAGGCUCAUUGGCAAACUGUUUUAAACUUUUUCCUUGCACGCCUCCCAUGCAGGUCAGAUUUCACAAAUCUCUUUCUGAUUGUAAAAGCAUGCACUUUGACACCAACAGUUACCAACAAGACAAGCAGAUCCUCUAAUGAAAUUUGGGGAUUCUUGCAGACUUCAUUUUGCAUCUGACGGUCUGCUCUUGGGCUGAAUUUGCUGGGACGGCCAGUCCUGGACAAAUUGGCAGUCGUUUAAAAUCUGUCACUUGUAGAUGAUUUUCCUUAUAGUAUUUCAAAUAAUUCUGAGAUCUUUUAAAUCCCUUGCAAGACUUAUUGGCAUCCACAAAAUUUUUUCUGAAGGCCUUAUAAAACGCUUGUAGACCUUGGCAUGAUGACAUCACACACCUCAAUAACAAAGGGAACACCAGACACUAGAUAUGAGAGGGGUAUAAAUAAGACCGGUUAUUCUAAUUUAUGGAUUUAAAGGUGUAAUGUAGGGAUUUACUUACUUUUUCCAUGUGACUGAUCUGUUUUUUUUGUUAAUUUAAAUUGUGAGAUUGUUAAUAAAUUGUUAAUUUAAAUUGUUUUAUAGAGUGUAUCACCUUUAUUAAUAAGCAUUGUUUAUAGAGGAAUAUGUCAAAAAAGCCAACAAUUUCCAAGGAGUGUCCUUGUGUGUGUGUGUGUGUGUGUGUGUGUGUGUGUGUGUGUGUGUGCGCAUGCAUGUGUGUCUCAGUGCACAAAGUGCUAAGAGUGGCCAGGGAAAAAUUCCACUUGAUUGACCUGCAAAAUGCCAACACCAAUUAUGAGUCUACUCUUUCACUAUUACUACAAAUGUUCAGCUUUAAAGUGGAAAUUGUGUCUCAUUUUUGCAGCUGACAUUUUGUUUCUCCUUCAUGUGUUAUAGGAUGUUACCCAAUACCUAUUUCUGUCAACAAUGUGUCCUUCUCCGUGAUCAGUAAUUGCUUUUUAAGAAAACAGACUAAGAACAACUUACACAGUGACUUGGAGUAAUGUAUUGUGUGAUCAUUGAUAUGGUGAAUUUUCUUUGAGAUGUUUAUUAUUGGAAGCAGUUACCAGUGUCAGCGCUUUGUUUUCCAACAAGAUGAAGUCUUCAGGACUUUACACUAUCCAGUUUCUUGAUAACAUGACAAUCAAGUAUGCUUUUUUUGUCUUAUUAACGUCAAGAGACAGACAAAGAGAGGCUGGUGAGGGAAUGACUGUUUAUAGCUGUUAUACUGUGCAUAAUAAUGGGGGGCAGUGGUGGCUUGAGGGUUAAGGCUCUGGGUUACUGAUCAGAAGUUCGGUUUCAAGCUCCAGCAGUGCCAGGCUCUGGGUUACUGAUCAGAAGGACGGGGGUUCAAGCUCCAGCACUGCCAGGCUCUGGGUUACUGAUCGGAAGGACGGGGGUUCAAGCUCCAGCACUGCCAGGCUCUGGGUUACUGAUCAGUUAGGUAGGGGGUUCAAGCUCCAGCACUGCCAGGCUCUGGGUUACUGAUGGGAAGGUCUGGGGUUCAAGCUCCAGCACUGCCCGGCUGCCACUGUUGGGCCCUUGAGCAAGGCCCUUAACCCUCUCUGCUCCAGGGGCGCUGUAUCAUGGCUGACCCUGCACUCUGACCCGAACUUCCUGACAUGCUGGGGUAUGCAAAGAAAAGAAUUUCACUGUGCUAUAAUGUAUACGCGACCAAUAAAAGACUCAUUACUCAUUCUCAUUAACAUAUUGGUGGAUGUUCCACAAAACUGUAAAUGAAUAAAAAGUACUAUUGUAUCUUUAAUGAAUACAAAUUGGAAUUGUUGGCAAAUUCCUGUUGUAUAAGAGGAAAAAACACUACAGUUGUUAUGCUGUUGGAAAAUAAGCAUUUUUGCUGUGGUCACAAAUCACAUGCAUUGAUUUUUUGUUCAUGUACCCUGUAAUGUUUUUUUUUUUUUUUCUUACAUACUAAAUGUUUUUAAGAUAAUCUGUUUGCCCAUGUUGUUAUGGAAGCUUAAAAGAGAGAAUAAUUUUGAGAGAAUAAUACCAUCUCUUAAUGGCAUUUUGAGGUCAAGGCACGAAAAAGCGAGGGCUAAUAACUGGCCAUUAGACUAACAUGCACAUUCAAUUAAAUAGUUUUUCCAGAGUUGAUGGAACUGAUGGUCUUCACCAACUUUUGCCACUGACAGAUGAUUAUAACAUGGGGUUUCAUGUGUAGAAUUUCCAAUGAGGGAAAACUACAUUAAGCGUGUAAAGAGUACACUGAGCUGAGCAAGAUCCUGCUAAGUAGUAUUCGGAUAACAUUCCUGGACAUGUGUAUGUUAAGUAAUCUUGCUGGAGGACAUCUGGAGUAAUUAUGACAGUAUAAAUUACAGAGAUGGGAGAAUCCUCACGAUGUGUGCAUGGUCAUCACACCAAACGUCUCAUACAGAAGAUGUAUAUGUUAAUGCAAACUGAUUGAUUUGGCCUUCACUGUAAGCGCUUGUUAUAGACCGCUGGUGACCAUGUGUUUGAUCAAGGUUGUAUGCCUGUAGGCUAUGGCUGUGCUAGGAACCUAAUUAUGUACAACUGCCCAGAAGUGUUGCUUUUCUGACAAGUCCUUUUAAAUGUCGUCCAUGUUUUAUUGUUCUGCGUUUUAAACUUGGCCAGUAAGUAGUUUUGUCGGUAGAUGAAAGAAAAGAAUGCUUCUUUUCUUUUUUUUCUUGUCGUGUCUCCAUACUGAAGAAACUGCAUGAAGGCUCUUUUUCCACGUAUAUAAUGCCCCAUUAUAAAAGGGUGUGCACACUUUUAUGCAACCAAGUUUUUUCCUUUUUCUUUUUCCCUGUAAAACGUUUCUAUUUGUUUUUCACUUGAAUACAGCUGCUUGCUAUAUCACAUUAAAGGUUAAAAAAUAUCUGACAUGAUUUAUCUAGGUUUUAUUUAUUUAUUUAUUUUUACAUCAGGAAAACCUACAAGUUUAACAGGAGUGUGUAGACUUUUUAUAUUCACUGUAUGUAUAAAAAGGGAGCCAUAAUCUCCUGGGUUUUUCCCUAUCCUAUUAUUGUCAGAUGUAACAGCUUUCUGAAACACUGAGUGACACGUUUUAGAAUGUAAUGCACACAGGGGACAAAAAUGGACAGAGUACGUUCAAGGACAAAAGACAUGUGCAAGGUUUGAAACUAACAGUAAUGUCACGUAAGGAGAGCGAAGACGGAUGCAAUUGCAGUAAAAGCUUUUAUUAAGAGACGCAGGCAGAUAAAUACAAAACGUGAUGCAAAGUCGAAAUCCAAGAACAGGCAGAGGUCAGGUGCUCAAAGGUGCUCUGGCAAAACCAGAAUCACAAAAACACAAGGGAAAGGCAGGAUCAAAAACCAUGAAACAAAGAACGAUGGACAAACGGUUUGGUACAGAUAAACCGGCAAAGCACUGAAACAAUACUUCGCCACGUAAUACAGAAACAUACAAACUAAUCAAAGUGGGAAACAGAAACAGCUGUGGGCAGUGAUGACACAAGGGUAACAACCAAUCACAAAACAGGGGUGGAGACAGGACAGAAACCAAAACAAAACCUACACGGCAAAGUAAACAAUUCCCGUCAACCCGGAAGUGUGCUGAGGGGGAAAAUACCUGAGAGUCUUGUCGGCCUCAGACUUCAGUAACACUUGGUAGGUCAGCUCGUCGACCUCUGGCUUGAGCAUGUCGUGGAAAGCCGUGAUGUUAGUCUCUGGCGUGAGCAUGGCUUGGGAGGUCGCAUAGUCAGCCUCAGACAGGAGCAGGAUGGGUGAGGCCAUCUCGUUGGCCUCAGGUGGGGCCGGGGGGAUUUAGCAGACGCUUUUAUCCAAAGUGACUUACAGUUGAGGAAAUACAAGUAGUGCUACCAUACAAGAUUUUUAUUUGAGUGCUAGAGCAGUUCGCAGAAUAGAAGUGUAAGACCCAGUGUAAGUGCAGCUUGAUUGAUUGAUUGAUUGAUUGAUUGAUUUUUUGAGUGGAGACAAAUUAGAGGUUAGUUGAGUGUUCAUGGAAGAGGUGGGUCUUGAGUCUUGAAUUUUUUGAAGACAGUGACAGAUUCUGCGAUCCGGAUUGAGGAUGGAAAUUCAUUCCACCACUGACGGACAGUCAUUUUGAAGGUUCUGCAAAGGGACCGCAUGUCUUGCUGAGUAGGCACUACCAGGUGUCAAUGCAGAGAUUUGAACGCUGGUUACGGAUCUAACCCUGGUUCUGUGAAUUCCGGAUGACUGCCAGAGAAGGUGCCACAGUAGUGGAUGAUCGCAUUCAGCCAGAUAGGUCGAGAAAAUAAAUACAAAUGAAGUCACGUAGUGACGUGAGCUGAGCAGAGGUGAUCUAAGCCACUGCAGCUUAGCGUCUUC
ensembl:lncRNA